rnacentral:rRNA from 1 species
ACUUAAAUUGAAGAGUUUGAUCAUGGCUCAGAUUGAACGCUGGCGGCAGGCCUAACACAUGCAAGUCGAACGGUAGCACAGAGAGCUUGCUCUCGGGUGACGAGUGGCGGACGGGUGAGUAAUGUCUGGGAAACUGCCUGAUGGAGGGGGAUAACUACUGGAAACGGUAGCUAAUACCGCAUAACGUCGCGAGACCAAAGUGGGGGACCUUCGGGCCUCAUGCCAUCAGAUGUGCCCAGAUGGGAUUAGCUUGUAGGUGAGGUAACGGCUCACCUAGGCGACGAUCCCUAGCUGGUCUGAGAGGAUGACCAGCCACACUGGAACUGAGACACGGUCCAGACUCCUACGGGAGGCAGCAGUGGGGAAUAUUGCACAAUGGGCGCAAGCCUGAUG